rnacentral:lncRNA from 13 species
GCACGGGCACUCACAGCUGCCCCAGACCUCUCCCUCUCCCGGGCUCCCUUUGUCUUGAUCUCCCUCUCCUGUUGCCUGGUAACCGCCCUCCCCGUCACCAGCCCCGCGGAAACCAUGGCAACGGGCAGCCGGAAGAUGCGGCCAUUCCUCUCCCUUUUGUCCCUUGCAUUUCAGCAGCGCCCGCGCACGUGGACGCUCCAAUUACAGGACAAACAAGGACCUCCAAAUUCGUGUUCAAACACCCCACGUGGUGGGCAGUGGCGGGGAUCAGAGGAUUCUGGAAUGAACGCAAAGGAUGAACAGACCCAGCCAGCGAAGAACACACAGACAGACAGACAGACAGACAGACAGACAGACAGACAGACAGACCCAGCAGCCCCAGGAGGAGAACCCAGGACCCAAAGCGCCGGGCCUAGAACGAGUCACAAUUGGCGUGCAGCUCUGGCUCCACCACUGCCGACCUGUGCCCUCUGUGCUCUGACCUUCCACUCUUUCAGCACCGAGGUCCUUCUGAAACCACAGAGGCUUGGCAUCUGCUCUUCCCUCUGGCCCAGAGUUCCCUCCCCUCUUUGCACACUAACUCCAACCUGACCCUCAAUCUCAGCUCCAGCACGCCUUCCUGGAGGAAGCUUCCCUGCCUAUCCCUCCAUUCCCCUUCCCAGGUUCCCACAACCCCCUAAGCUGCACUUUCCACGCGUACAAUCAUGUAUAUUUCUUAAAUGUCGUCUAAGUUUCCAGGGUCUCCUAUACCAAAUGACCACAAACUGGAUGGCUUAAAACAACACGUAUGCCUUGUCUCCCAGUUCUAGAGGCUAGAAGUUGCAAGUCAGGAUGUGUGGAAGGCCACGCUCCCUCUGAAGGCUACAGGGGAGGAUCUUUCCUUGUCUCCUCCAGCUUCUGCUAGCUGUCAGCAUCCUUGGUAUUCCUUGGCUUGUGGACACAUCACUCUAAUCUCUGCCCAUGGUCACAUGGGUUUCUCCCCAUGUCCCUCUGUCCAAAUUUCCCUCAUCUUAUAAAGAUGCCAGUCAUUGGAUUCGGGUUCACCCUGAUCCAGGAUGACCUCUCUUAACUUGAUUAUAUCUAUCUGUCAUGAUUAUUUCCAAAUGAUACGGACAGGAAGGAGUCAGGGAAACACUGGGUAGAAGAGGGUGGUUCCCUGGUAAAGGCCCCUCCCUCAAGCCUGGAUACCUGAGGCCCUAAAUGAGAACAGGAAUUCCUGUUUUCAAGCCCCAAAAAUUGCCUUUUGGCCUGCCAUACCCCAUAUCCUGCCCUCAUAUAAACCCCAAACCCCAAGUUCCAGAGCAGACCAGCAGGCAAGGAGACAAGGAGGCAAGCAGAUGGAUGGCAGAACAAUGUGGCGGAGAAAGAGAGAAGAGGAGAGAUGUCUGGAUGCCAACAGGAGUUUGGCUGGGGGUGGUCAGAGAAGAAUCCAGUGGCUGGGCAGCCCGACUCCAGGGGAAGAUCACCUUCCCACUCUAUCCCCCUGCCUUCAGGCCCCCCAUCCAUCUCACUAAGAGCCACCUCCACCACUCAAUAAAACCUUGCAUUCAUCCUUCGAGCCCUCGUGU